rnacentral:lncRNA from 1 species
AUGGCAAUGUUUAGCGUGCUUUCAACUGGACGUGCGAAUAGGAUCUGGAGUUUGCCCAGAUCAUUCAUCAGCCGGGCCUCCCUUCAGGGCCAGGGGAGCCAGGCAGAGCCCAGCAGCUGGGUCACAGCGAGCAGCGAGGGCUGCGCGUCCCUGAAGCCGGGUCUAACAGGUAGUGGCUCAUGUGCGAAUCACUGCUUUGGGGCUGGCGCAUCAUUGGGAAAGGCGCUAUCAAAGCUGUGCUUAAUUGGGUGGAAGGGUUGUUUGCAUGGCCACUAAUGGGGGAUCAGAGGGCCAGGGACUGAUAGCUGACGGCCAUACAAAGGCAACCAAUUACUUGCUUGUCUGCAUUAUGUAUUAACCCAUCUGGGGCUGGGAUAUUGGCUUUGAAAGGGAGACAAAGGCGGAGGCGUGACAGUCCGCCCCCACCAAAGAAGCCUGCCUGGGCCCCUUUGUGCGUGGGGCUGGGCAGCUGGAUGCUGCCUCCUCCUCCUCGCCAUUGCCCAUUGGGAUGUGGACCCCGAGGGUGUCCCCAGGCGCAGUGGCAGUGUGCUGCCUUGCUUGGCAUCCCCACGUCCUCCUAAAUAUUGCAUCACCACCGCAGGCAUCCAACGCCUUUUAUCUCCUUUCAUCAGCCCCUGCUCUUUGCUGCCCACUGCCACAUGCCGGGAAAACCGUUCGAGCUUCUGCUUUAAUUGGCAUCAGCCACCAUCACUGUUAAUAAGUUUACACUUCUUUUCAUCAACAUACUUUUGCAAUGGGAGGUUAAUUAUGAACAGGUCAGUAAAUUGCAGUAAACACUAGUCCGGGAAUAUCUAAUGGCUUGCCCACUUGGCUCUUUGCUGAUUGUUAAUCAUCGUGAUUGGGUUGGAAGGGUGGUGUGAGCGAGGCGCUGGGGUCCCCAGGGUGGCAGCAUGGUGGGGCAGCCACUGGCUGUUUGUCCCCCAUCCGUGUGUCUCCAAAGCUGCCUCGCUGCACAGGUGAUGCCAGCUGAGAAUGGCCACCGCUCGUCAUACCACCUGCA